UCCAGAGGGGGCAAGCGUUGUUCGGAAUUACUGGGCGUAAAGGGCGCGUAGGCGGCCCGCUAAGUCGAACGUGAAAUCCCCGAGCUCGACUCGGGAACUGCGUCCGAUACUGGUUGGCUUGAGUUUGGGAGAGGGAUGCGGAAUUCCAGGUGUAGCGGUGAAAUGCGUAGAUAUCUGGAGGAACACCGGUGGCGAAGGCGGCAUCCUGGACCGGUAUUGACGCUGAUGCGCGAAAGCCAGGGGAGCAAACGGG
rnacentral:rRNA from 1 species